rnacentral:rRNA from 1 species
AUGGGAGAUCUUAAUGAUAUUCUCUAUGAUGAGGACAAGAGUUCUCCCUAUGUUAAUAAAUACUGUAUGCAUGCUUUUCGUGCUUUAGUCAAACAAUGUGGCUUCAUUGAUCUAGGAUACAGUGGCCCUGCUUAUACUUGGACUAAUAAGCGAUACACUUCUAAACCUAUUAUGGAGCGCCUUGGUCGUUGUCUUGUUAAUGUUGAAUGGUGUGGUAUUUACCCAAGCUCAAAUGUUUUUAACCUGCCUAUCAUCUACAGUGAUCAUGCUCCUAUUCUUCUGUCUACUGAAGCUCAAACUCGUAAACCUAAGAGGAACUUUAAGUUUGAAAAUUGGUGGCUUAUGGAAGAGGAUUUUCAUACUCAUGCCAAAAUGUGUGGACUAGUUCAAGAAAUAAAGCUUUUCAUAAUAGGGCUACUAACCUGGCAAGGGCUCUGA